ACACAGACAGGAAUUCGCUUUAAUUAAUGCUGCUUUUUGCGCCAAUGCAAUUAUCUAUCCAUCUAUGUAGUUUGCCGGCCCCGCACGUUUAAUUACCCUUAAUCAAUUUAUUGCCAAUUAUUCUACAAAAAGCGCCAACGAAAAUUGUAUAAUUUAAUUAAGUUAGCAAAAGGUUUUUAUGUGUCGCUUUGCCAUUCGACAUCCACCCCAACAUCUUAACAGUCUUGACUACCCCCGUCGACAGCGUCUUGUUUCCACUCCACAGACCCAACCAAGAAGUUCAGGUUUAGAUUGAGCGCUUGCCAUAGUCAAUUUGCUCGGCUUCGUCUUGUUCUUGCUCCUGCCUUACACAUUUUACAAUUUACACAUUUCGCCUUUGUAUUUGCCAAUUGGCGCUGAUUAAAGCCUUCUUAGUCAUUGGCCCACAAUUAAGAGAUGCCUCAUUGUGCCCUAAUCAGAGCAAGCAUCGAAUGAGCACAUACUCGGAAUGUGACUCCCAUUGGCUAGCCAGGGGCCUUACAAUUCGUGUUGAGAGUUUCUCGACCAACCGAUUCCAGGUAUCGAGGGGCAAACCAAGCUGGAGUCCAGUCAACUGCAUUGAUCGAAUCUUAACACUCUAAAAUAAAUGAGCUGAAUCUAAUUGCCCCUUUGCCACACUAGCUGUUGGCUUAUAUAUGGGAUAAUAUGGGAGAGUAGCAGCCGCAGUUGCGAUUUGAGAAAGGUAGAAAUAUCAAAAGAGAAAUUGAAAUUUAAAAAACCUAGGCGGAAAAAUGUACCAGCAUGUAAAGGAAACAUCCCGGUGUUCAAUUGAGUUAAAAUUGUUUUUCAUUUUUAGUGCAGCGACUGUUACUGCUGGCUGUGUAAAAGCCAGUGCCGCGUGAAUGCAAAGGCACUAUUAAGCCCAUUUAAUGCUGAUACUGCAGUCACGUCCAUGACAAUAAAAUAAAAGACUAUAAAUUAAACUA